AGAAUGUCGGCGGUUCGAUCCCGUCAGCGCCCACCAUAAUUUGUGACCAUACUUUAUUUUUAAAGUAUUGCAAGUGCAGCGGUAGUUCAGUUGGUUAGAAUACCGGCCUGUCACGCCGGGGGUCGCGGGUUCGAGCCCC
rnacentral:rRNA from 1 species